rnacentral:rRNA from 1 species
ACUCCUACGGGAGGCAGCAGUAAGGAAUAUUGGUCAAUGGGCGCAAGCCUGAACCAGCCAUGCCGCGUGCAGGAUGACUGCCCUAUGGGUUGUAAACUGCUUUUGUUAGGGAAUAAACCUUCUUACGUGUAAGGAGCUGAAUGUACCUAAAGAAUAAGGAUCGGCUAACUCCGUGCCAGCAGCCGCGGUAAU